GGGUGGGGGUCGAGCGGCCAGAGGGAGCACGUACCCGUGCUCUCCCCCCGGAACGGGGACCGCCUCCUUCCCUCUCCAGGCAGGGCGACGCGCCCUGUAGACGCCCCCCUCGUGGUGGUUAUCGGAGCAUCUGCGAGGAAGGAGCGUCCACUGGGGACCCGAGACCCAUUUUAUCAGCUCUCUGUGCAGAGACUCAUUUGAGGCCUGCGGUGAUGAUUGAAAUAAGGAUGCGCCCCCGGUGACUAUGGAAACCUCAGAAGGUGGCCUCCAGUAGAAGAGAUAAGUAGGACUCAAGGCCGCCCUGAAGCUGGCAGUACCCGUUGCAGGGCACCCGGCUGGGGGCACCUGGUCCCGGAAUGCGCUGUGGUUCCCCAGCGACCUGUGAGCGUAUAGGCCGCGGAAGCCGCUUCUAGGGGACCCUCCCUCUGCCCCUCCCGCGCUCCUCUGAGAACUGUUACCUUAAUAGGCAAGAACUGGGAGAAGGCGAGAGAUGCCGCUUCCCAAACACCCAGAAGGCUGAUCCUCACCCUGCUCCUCCUGGCCAGCGGAUCCCCGGGUCUUGCUGGAUUCCGCUGAUGGGAGGGCUUGGAAAGGAAUCCAAUUCCUUGGGCAUUGUUGUGAUGUUGAGAUAGGAGAAAGGGGGGCAGGUUUUGUUUUGCUUUAUUUUAUUACGUUAGGCUGCUGGCGGGGAAACCAGGCUCCCACUCCUGUUGACUAAGUGUCUGCAAUAUGUGGUGCCAGACAGUAUGGGGGCGACGAGAAAGUGUAAAAUCCGGGGAGCCUAUGCAUUAAUUCAGCAAAAUCAUCAGUACCUAUCAUAGGCCUGGCAGCACUGUCUAUGGUGGUAGAGACAAAUCUGUAAGCAAAUAAUUAGAGCAAGGUGAGGAGGUUGGGCAGGGUGAGGGUCAGCAGCCGCUGGCCCCAGGCAUUGGGCAGGGAAGGCCUUGCUGAGGAGAGUGGGCCUGAGCUGGUCCUGAAUGAGUCUGAGCAGAGAGGAAGAGCAGAAGGGGCAGCAUGUGCAAAAGCACAGGGCUGGAGAGAACAAGGCCUCCUGGAGGGCCCAUGAGAACUGCUGUAGCCUGAGUGGAGCAGAGGGAGACAUAAUGCCUGGAGCUGUAGAACAUUCUGUGACUAUAAGGAAAGGCCAAGAGAAUUGAGGGCCUUCCAGCCAGGAGAUUGUUGAACUGUUGAACCAACACCAGCAGCCACUUACCUCCGGAUUUCUUGUUAUGUUUGAUGCUUGAAAUGACUGCAUGAAAUUUUUGAUCAAGACUUGUAGAUGAUGAUCUCUUCAAUGUUUAAACAUUUCUCACUGAUGAGAAACUUAAUUAAAAAUAAAUUCUGAUUUGAGGUAUAACUGACAUACAUUAUGUUAAUUUUAAAUGUACAACACAAUGAUUUGUUAUUUGUAUAUACUUAUCAUCUAUUAAAAAUGCAUGACCAAGCUCCUCUUUAACAUGGUGGAAGUUUUUUUGUAAUUGCUAUAUAGUUGAUUUAUAAUAUUGUGUUAGUUUCAGGUGUACAUCAAAGUGAUUCAGUU